GUUUGUAGCUCUAGUUACUGCUGUUGGUUGAUGCUUGCUUGUGAAAUUGUUAGCACGGCUCGUUUGUAGCUCUAGUUACUGCUGUUGGUUGAUGCUUGCUUGUGAAAUUGUUAGCAUGUGCUAUGGAAAGUCAAAACAUUAUAGAAGUUUGGUUAUUUUGGUUUGGCAUCUUUCGAAUGUUCUUACUUUAUCUUGUUUUUCCUUGUUAGGCUAAACUGCCAUGUCAGAAAUAAAAGCUACUAUCAACGAGUUUAGGUCCCGCCAUCUUUCUGAGCUUACCGAGCUCUAUGAAACAAGUGGAAGCUCUCUCGGUUAUAGAUACUCUUGGAUCAUGAGUAAACCCAAAUCUCAACCCUCUGAUUCUUCAGAUGAUAAUCAAAUCACUGAAGGAACAGUGGUAAUAUAACCCAUCACCCAAAGAUAAGAACUAACAUAAUAUUAAAAAACAGAUCACAAAGAAUGUACAGCGGUUUACUUGAACCCUUUGGUAUAAAUUGUACAGAAAUAUAGCUAAAUUAGUGGCAGCAGCAGACACAUUUGUUGAUCAAUCACAUGGACAUUUUUGUUUCGAUAAUGCCCCCUGCGUGAAAGGGGCAAUUGUUCUUUUUCUUUCUUCAAUCAUAUUCCAAUCUGAUAAAUUUUGGUAAAACUGUCUAAAAGGACUUUCUUAUCUCACUAAUCACAUUGCAUUCCAUAAUCUUACAGUACUUUGUUAGCUGUUAGUUUUGAUCAUGCUGUAUAAUGCAAAUGGUCAAAGUGAUAUGAUGCUACAUAUGGAGAAACUGUUUUUGUGAGAAAAUGUGUAGAUUCAUGGAUUUGCUUAUUGCAUUGGAUGUUUGUCGGCAGGAACUUGUUGCAUGUUUGGAUUCCUUUUUGUUUUUCAACUGUAUUAAUAAUUGCUUGUUUGGAUAAUUUCAAUUUCAGUUAAUGUUGCAGUGAUUAAA